AGCCUUGUAUUCAAUAAUGAUUUUAAAUUGCAAAUUUAAAGGAAGAGUAAUCUUAAGGCUU
rnacentral:tRNA from 1 species